rnacentral:rRNA from 1 species
UGGGGAAUUGUUCACAAUGGGCGCAAGCCUGAUGACGCAACGCCGCGUGGGGGAUGAAGGUCUUCGGAUCGUAAACCCCUGUCGAAUGGGACGAAAGACUCGCGAGUGAAUACUUCGCGAGAGUGACGGUACCGUUAAAGGAAGCCACGGCUAACUCUGUGCCAGCAGCCGCGGUAAUACAGAGGUGGCAAGCGUUGUUCGGAAUUACUGGGCGUAAAGGGCGCGUAGGCGGCCCUCUAAGUCAGACGUGAAAUCCCCGGCUUAACCUGGGAACUGCGUCUGAUACUGGAGGGCUUGAGUAUGGGAGAGGGAUGUAGAAUUCCAGGUGUAGCGGUGAAAUGCGUAGAUAUCUGGAGGAAUACCGGUGGCGAAGGCGGCAUCCUGGACCAUUACUGACGCUGAGGCGCGAAAGCUAGGGGAGCAAACGGGAUUAGAUACCCCGGUAGUCCCUGAGCGGGCUGGCAAGGCG